UACGAAGGGGGCUAGCGUUGCUCGGAAUUACUGGGCGUAAAGCGCACGUAGGCGGCUUUCUAAGUCGGGGGUGAAAUCCUGGAGCUCAACUCCAGAACUGCCUUCGAUACUGGAGAGCUCGAGUCCGGGAGAGGUGAGUGGAACUGCGAGUGUAGAGGUGAAAUUCGUAGAUCAUUCGCAAGAACACCAGUGGCGAAGGCGGCUCACUGGACCCGGUACUGACG
rnacentral:rRNA from 1 species